CCGCUUGACAAGUAAGGUAAACAUGUGAAAUGAUCUGAAAUGAAAGUACAAAAAUAACUUAUUUGGCUUGUACAAGAUUGAUAAGAUAUUCAUGAUCACAAGUUUACAAUAAAGACACAUACUCAGUUUAUGUUCUAUAUAAAUGCAUUUCAUCAAAAGGAUGGACCUUCAAACAGAAUACUUUAACAUGGUAUGGUGAGGUUCUGACCACUCUUAGAUUUUUGGCAAAAGGGGAUUGUCAGUCGGAGGUGGGUGAUAACCAUGGCAUAUCCAUGUCAUCUGCAUCAAGGAUAAUACAUAGUGUACGCUCUGCAAUCAACUCGUGCUUACCCAAUAUACAAUUUCCAAGAGCUGCAGAUCUUACAGCCAUCACAGAAGGAGAUUAAAUUUGAAAUUGUAACCAUUGACCAGUAGUAAUAAUGUUUAAUGUUUCCUGAGACAUUAUCAUAUCUGCCAUGAUUGGAGAUUCAUAUAAGAUAGAGGGAACAGAAAUUACACAGUUAUCAGCAUUUGAAGGUAAAGAGAAAACCAUGAGACACUUAAGAAAAGACAACAGCCUACCUGAAAACCGAUGCAGGACACGUAAUGCCAAUCAAAGUACUGAUAGUACCUUUCAUUAUUAUGCCUCUACAGAAUCAAAUGAGUAGCAUUGAUACGAAAUAUGAAUAUUUACGUGGUUUGAAGUUAGUGCACAUGAUGACACAGCAAGAUUCAUUCGAGAUAUAGUUGCUACAUGUAGUAGGCGCAGAUCACUACUGGGACAUUGUAGAAGACCAUAUAGUACAGGGAAAUGGUCCCCACAGACGUGAUAUUUGCUUUCAGUACCUACAUACGGUAAAGAGAUUGACACGUCGAACAAUAACACGCUUAAUAUGUCACACUUUGCUGUAGAAUUUAAUCUAGAGAAACGUCGAAAAUUGGAGUCAAUAGGUUAUAGUAAGGAGAUAGACAAAGACGAUGAUGCAUGUAUUUAUGACAAAAAUAAGCAAAGACCCAUCGAAACUACAUCUGAUUAACAAAUUUAAUAAUACUUUUAGAUAUUUGGAUAUCAAUAAUGACGACUUCAGUAUGUAUAGUAAAGAAAUUUAUCCUGUUGAACUUACUUUAAAUAAAGCUAAUACUAACAAUGAUCACUGCCCUUUCCUCGAUCUUGAUAUCUAUAUAUAUCACUUAAGGAAAGCUGAAUACUAUAAUUUAUGAUAUAAGAGGUGAUUUUUCAUUUCCUAUCAUUAAUUAUCCAUUUUUAGAUGGUGACAAGGUAUUUUCCGGUGUUUAUAUAUCUCAACUUGUACAAUUCGCUCGUGUAUGUAACAAUGUUUUAGAUUUUAACGAGAUAAAUUUAUGUAUUACUAAAAAAUAAUUACACCAGGGUUUAAGGACAUCAUUCAUAAAUAUAGCUGAACAUGCAGACUUCUUAUAUACGUUCAGGUAUUUCACAUCCAAUUUUUUAUGGAAGUAUUCUUUAUAAAGCACAAAGGUGUCAGUAUUCACCUCGGAAACUAACAAAACCUUUCCAUAGACUAAUUUAGAAGGGAUAUAGUUACGAUACUGUUGUCAGGUCAUUAAAGAUUUCAUAUUUUGGGAUUAAUAUUGAUCCACUUUAUAUAGGGUCUUUGUAUCGGAACUAAACACAUUUAUUAAAAAAACAGUUUUUGAUAUGACACAGGUUAUGUUCUUCUCAUUUAUGUUAUGAUGGUAUGAUACUAAACCCUUACGGGAAGGAUUGUGCCUGAUGUUCAUAUGAUGUAAUCAUAAUCUUUCAGUCAGUUUGAUUGAAGUCUGGAGCUGGCAUCUCAGUGAACUGCUAGUAGUCUGUUGUUAUUUAUGUAUUUCAGUAUGAGUUAGAUCUAUUUAUUUCCAUUUAACUAUUGUAUAUACUAUAAACAAGGGCUUUUUUACAGUCUAAUUGUAUUGUAAUUGUGUAUUUAUAUAUCAUUAAUAAAAGUGUUCACAUCCACAUAAAUAGAUAUUUUGAGGUAAGAAAAAACAAUAUUGAUAAUGUUCAAUAGGAUAAUAUGGAUUAAUCUAUAGCAUCUAUUUUCUUAUCGUAAAAUAUUUAUAAAACAAUAAAGCCACAAUGU